GACGAACGCUGGCGGCGUGCUUAACACAUGCAAGUCGAACGGUGAAGCGCCUUCCUUUUUGGUGGGUGUGGAUGAGUGGCGAACGGGUGAGUAACACGUGAGUAACCUGCCCCCUUCUUCUGGAUAACCGCAUGAAAGUGUGGCUAAUACGGGAUAUUCUGGGUCUGUCGCAUGAUGGGUCUGGGAAAGAUAUUGUUUCGGUGGGGGAUGGGCUCGCGGCCUAUCAGCUUGUUGGUGGGGUGAUGGCCUACCAAGGCGGUGACGGGUAGCCGGCCUGAGAGGGUGGACGGUCACACUGGGACUGAGACACGGCCCAGACUCCUACGGGCGGCAGCAGUGGGGAAUAGUGCACAAUGGGCGCAAGCCUGAUGCAGCGACGCCGCGUGAGGGAUGGAGGCCUUCGGGUUGUGAACCUCUUUCGCCAGUGAAGCAGGCCUGCCUCGUUUGUGGGUGGGUCGACGGUAGCUGGAUAAGAAGCGCCGGCUAACUACGUG
rnacentral:rRNA from 1 species